UUGAUGGUUUUUCACAGAGUGAAUUUAUUUUAUCUUUAAACUUUUUUUUACAGAAAAAGAAAGAAGGCUCUCAUGGUUCUCUUCAUGAUAGCUCAUCCUGUGUCCUCCGGGGAGGACUUUUUAUCUUACUUUUUCUCUUCUUUUGGGCCCAAGAUCACUCUGCAGAGCCAGUUUCUUCCUCAAUCGUCAUUUUUACUUUUCAAAUAAACUUUGUCCUUUUCUGUUCAUUUCAUUCAAUUCUUUGUUCAAGGUGAGAAGAAUGUGGAAUCCAACUCCAGCAGGAGAGGCAAGCAACCCAAAGCCCAAACUGAAAAGCAUUUGGUGAGAAGCCUUAGAUCAGAUGGAGAACAUCUGGCCCACCUGCUGUGAGAAAGUACACAACACCUGCAUGAGAAGAAGCCGGCUGUUUUGGGAUGACCCAUCAACACCUAUACAAACCAUGCCUAAAUCAGCUUCCCAGCAAGAUAGACUUUGCUUGUUUGUUUUGUUUUUGACACAGGGUCUUGCUAUGUAGUUCAGGCUAGCCUUGAACUCACUAUGUAGCUCAGGCUGGCCUAAAACUAGGAGCAAUCCUCCUGACUCAGCCUCCCGAGUGCUGGGAUGACAGGCAUGCACCACCACGCCACCUGUAAGAUGGACUUUGGACAUGAGUCCUCCAUCUUGUUGAGCAGCUGGCUUUUUGAAUAAAGUCAUUUUCCAAGAGAAGAGAAGAGAAGAGAAGAGAAGCAAAGCAUGUUGGUGCACACACCUGUAAUCCAGGACUCAGGAGGCUGAUAGGAGAAUCACCAUGAGCUCGAGGCCAGCUUGGGCUACACAAUGAGUAAGCCAGCCUGAACUACAUAGUGAGACCCUGUCUCAAAAAAAAGAAAGUUCAAAGAAAAGAGAAAGGUGUUAAGACUCAACAGCACCAUUUUCCACACCCCAGCACCACGGGCUGCAACAUGAUGUUCCUGUAGUGCAGGAGGAGCCACACUGAGGAGCUCUGCUGACUGCACCUCUGCUGCCACCGGGUUUCCCUCGGCUCCAGGAAGAGCAUGGAGCACAAUCACAGGGUGAGAGCUGGCAUUGUUACAAUACUGGCUUCCACUCCAUACCCAGUUCAAGAAACCCAGGGGCCAAAUUAAAACAUAAUCAUUCUGAGUAACAUUUAUACUGCAGCCACUAUGAGCAUGGAGUGCACUGUGCACCCUCCAGAAAAAAAAAAAUUAUUUUUCAUCACAAAGUUCCUUGUAUUAGCAACAAAGAUUCUGCAAAACAAUAGUGGUGCCCCCCCUUCUUCUUUUGUUUUUAGCUAUGUAAUCCAGGCUGGCCUUGAACUCACUAUGUACCCCAGGCUGGCUUUGAACUUGCUGAAAUCCCCCUGCCUCAGCCUCCCAAGUGCUAGGAUCAUAGGCGUGAGCCACCAUGUCUGGCUUACCCCUCUCUUCUUUUUUUUUGGUACCAGGGAUCUAACCUGGGACCUUGUGCUUGGGAGGCAGGCGGUGGAACCACUGAGCUAAAUCCCCAUCCCUCCCCCUCUCUUCUUAAUGCAAUUGAGGGCGAAGUCAGUGCCUGAGAAGCUGGCUGGAGCAACUUUAAAGUACAAUGAACUAUUUCAGUGUAGAAUGAAUUGCAAAGUGGUAACAUUAAGCAAGAUAUAGUUAAAAAUACAGUAGCAAAUAUUUACCCCAUUACUAUUUGGUAAAAAGAUCUUGAAUCGUUUUUUCUUGUUUUUUUGGUGAAGGGAUGAAACCCUGGGCUCCAUACACUCAGAAGCAGGACCCUGAAUCUGCAAAACUUAUUUUUGGUGGACCAAAAGGUACCUGCUUCCUACCAUUGUUGAUUUUUCAUAAAAGUUCAACAUCAAAAGAACCUGUUGCUCCCUGCAUUUUCUUUAGGGCUACACUGCCCUCAAGGUUUGUCUACACAUGGGCCGGGAAUUUAGCUCAGUGGUGCCACCACCUGCCCUGCAAGCACAAGGACCCGAGUUCCAUCCCUGGUACCAAACAAACAAACAAACAAAAAGAUUUGUCUACACACUUUCAGAAGGAAAAUUUAAAAGAUGAAAAUUUUUUUCCAAUCCUACCGAUAUCUACCAACAUACAACAUCCUAGCAGAUACAAGGAUAUACAUGCAUUCAUGGCAUUAACCACCAGAGUGAGGGUGUCACCAUGUCACAGAGCCUCUAGGGAUGACACUGUACACCUGUGAGAGAACAAGUAAAAAGGCAAUAACUUGGGAAAAGUUACUAUGAAACACCUGCUUAUGUGCAUAGGAAAUAGUCGCCUCUGGAUUCUAAAUAACAGAAUUUCUAGUGCUAUUAAGAAUUUAGUAUUUGUGGGCUGGGGAUUUAGCUCAGUGGUUUCGCCGCCUGCUGCGCAAGCGCAAGGACCUGAGUUUGAUCCCCAGUACCAAAAAAAAGAAACAAAAGAAUUUAGUAUUUGAUAUAUAAUGUUGAUUUUCCAAAAACAAAAUGUCCUGCAAACCUAAGUCAUAAAUCUCUGAGACGCCGAAGAAGAUAUCUUUACCCCGGCCCCAGCUGCCCACUGGCCCGUGAGAUGACACGGAAGACAGGCAGCGCUGUAUAACAUGGAGCACUGAAUGCCAGGUCGGGUCAGGACUCGGGCAUCCCAGAAUGCACUUGGUCCCAGAUGCUGUCAAACCAGCUGAGGUGAGGUGACGUCACAAAUGAACAACAUGGUACCGUGAAAUCUCAAAUUACAACAGGAUUCCACCAAGAGAAAGUAGAGGUCUCUGGAGAGAAACUGACCCUGAAAACACCAACACAUAAAUCCCACAUGAGUGGUGCAGAGAUGGUGGUGACACUGUGUGCCACACACAGACUAAACUAUGUGACACUACUAGCAGUAAGCACGGCUGCUGUGGAAAUGCAUUUAUUCACAAGUGAUUUGUGCGGCCUCACUGAACGCUGGACACAUCCUUGCAACUCAGCAACCUUCACACAGGUUCGGGGAAGAAGUCAAGAACACAUAGGAAGAAUCAAGGUAAGAAUAAGGCAUGGAGGAAAGAGAAGGGAGAGGAUGUGGAUGAAGAGGAGCAGGAGGCAGGAGGAGGCGCUGGAGCUGGACUGAGGGCUGCGGGGCUUACAUUCUUCCAGAACUCUCUGUAUGGUCCUGUGCAUGUCAUUGUUUCUUUACAGCCA
rnacentral:lncRNA from 1 species